rnacentral:rRNA from 1 species
GUGAGGAAUAUUGGACAAUGGUUGGAAAUCUGAUCCAGCCAUGCCGCGUGCAGGAAGACGGCCCUAUGGGUUGUAAACUGCUUUUAUACGGGAGCAAUAAGGUCUAUGCAUAGAUUGAUGAGAGUACCGUAUGAAUAAGCAUCGGCUAACUCCGUGCCAGCAGCCGCGGUAAUGCGGAGGAUGCGAGCGUUAUCCGGAUUUAUUGGGUUUAAAGGGUGCGUAGGCGGCUUUGUAAGUCAGCGGUGAAAUUUUGCAGCUUAACUGUAAAAGCGCCGUUGAUACUGUGACGCUAGGAUUUGGUUGCUGUGGGCGGAAUGUGUGGUGUAGCUGUGAAAUGCAUAGAGAUCACACAGAAUAUCGAUUGCGAAGGCAGCUCACAAAGCCAAUAUUGACGCUGAGGCACGAAAGUGUGGGGAUCAAACAGGAUUAGAUACCCCGGUAGUCC